rnacentral:rRNA from 1 species
UACGUAGGGGACGAGCGUUGUCCGGAAUUACUGGGCGUAAAGGGCGCGCAGGCGGUUUGUCAAGUCAGCUGUUAAAAAUGGGGCUUAACCCUCAUAUGCUGUUGAAACUGGCAGACUGGAGUGCUGUAGAGGCAAGUGGAAUUCCCAGUGUAGCGGUGAAAUGCGUAGAUAUUGGGAAGAACACCGGUGGCGAAGGCGACUUGCUGGGCAGCAACUGACGCUGAGGCGCGAAAGCCAGGGGAGCAAACGGGAUUAGAUACCCUGGUA